rnacentral:rRNA from 1 species
UAGCUUGCUAUUUGGCGUCGAGCGGCGGACGGGUGAGUAAUGCUUAGGAAUUUGCCCAGUUGAGGGGGAUAACCAUUGGAAACGAUGGCUAAUACCGCAUACGCCCUACGGGGGAAAGGAGGGGACCUUCGGGCCUUCCGCGAUUGGAUAAGCCUAAGUGAGAUUAGCUAGUUGGUGGGGUAAUGGCUCACCAAGGCGACGAUCUCUAGCUGGUCUGAGAGGAUGAUCAGCCACACUGGAACUGAGACACGGUCCAGACUCCUACGGGAGGCAGCAGUGGGGAAUAUUGCACAAUGGGCGAAAGCCUGAUGCAGCCAUGCCGCGUGUAUGAAGAAGGCCUUCGGGUUGUAAAGUACUUUCAGUCGUGAGGAAGGUGUUGUACUUAAUACGUGCAACAUUUGACGUUAGCGACAGAAGAAGCACCGGCUAACUCCGUGCCAGCAGCCGCGGUAAUACGGAGGGUGCGAGCGUUAAUCGGAAUUACUGGGCGUAAAGCGCAUGCAGGUGGUUUGUUAAGUCAGAUGUGAAAGCCCGGGGCUCAACCCCGGAAGGUCAUUUGAAACUGGCAAACUAGAGUACUGUAGAGGGGGGUAGAAUUUCAGGUGUAGCGGUGAAAUGCGUAGAGAUCUGAAGGAAUACCAGUGGCGAAGGCGGCCCCCUGGACAGAUACUGACACUCAGAUGCGAAAGCGUGGGGAGCAAACAGGAUUAGAUACCCUGGUAGUCCACGCCGUAAACGAUGUCUACUUGGAGGUUGCGGUCUUGAACUGUGGCUUUCGGAGCUAACGCGUUAAGUAGACCGCCUGGGGAGUACGGUCGCAAGAUUAAAACUCAAAUGAAUUGACGGGGGCCCGCACAAGCGGUGGAGCAUGUGGUUUAAUUCGAUGCAACGCGAAGAACCUUACCUACUCUUGACAUCCUCAGAAGAGAAAAGAGAUUUUCUUGUGCCUUCGGGAACUGAGAGACAGGUGCUGCAUGGCUGUCGUCAGCUC